AGUGAACGCUGGCGGUAGGCCUAACACAUGCAAGUCGAACGGCAGCACAGUAAGAGCUUGCUCUUACGGGUGGCGAGUGGCGGACGGGUGAGGAAUACAUCGGAAUCUACUUUUUCGUGGGGGAUAACGUAGGGAAACUUACGCUAAUACCGCAUACGACCUACGGGUGAAAGCAGGGGAUCUUCGGACCUUGCGCGAUUGAAUGAGCCGAUGUCGGAUUAGCUAGUUGGCGGGGUAAAGGCCCACCAAGGCGACGAUCCGUAGCUGGUCUGAGAGGAUGAUCAGCCACACUGGAACUGAGACACUGUCCAGACUCCUACGGGAGGCAGCAGUGGGGAAUAUUGGACAAUGGGCGCAAGCCUGAUCCAUCCAUACCGCGUGGGUGAAGAAGGCCUUCGGGUUUUAAAGCCCUUUUGUUGGGAAAGAAAAGCAGCAGGUUAAUACCCCGCUGUUCUGACGGUACCCAAAGAAUAAGCACCGGCUAACUUCGUG
rnacentral:rRNA from 1 species